rnacentral:lncRNA from 1 species
GGCAAUGACUGGUGAGGUAGCUGGGAUCCAGAGCCACAAUUCAAAGGUAAGGAUGUUUGCAGAGGUGGAUGAAAUCCUAGCUAACAUUGCUAUUCCAAGAAGUACUAUCAGAAAGUGUAGCAGGCAAGCGAAGAGUUGAUAUGAACAGACAUUACUUUCUGGAGACCUUUUCUGUAUUCCUAGGAGCCCCGUAUAAUCACAGGAUCCACCUUUUUCGUCUCAGAGUGAGGCAUGCAAGUCACUUGCCAACUCUUUUAUGAGUUGGGUUCCCUUCUCAAGCUAUGGGCACUGUGUUCUGAUGCCUCUUACAGGGCCCCUCGGAAAAGGAACCCCUUGGAAUUGCUGAAUCCAUAUGCAGACAGAAGUUACUACAAAAUAAAAUCUGAAAACUCAAAUUUUUCUUUGAUUAGAAAAGCCAAUUUUCUCUCUUGAACAACACACUUCAUUUAGCUUUUGUCUGAGUGUGUCAGAUGGAAAAAAAACAUUCCAUUUUUUUUUCCCUCCAGGACCGUUUUUAGGAUACCUACCUAAUUAUUACUCUUUCAGUUUUUUUAAAUGUCUUCUUUUCUUACUGUAUAUACAUUGGAAGUGGCUGGGAGUGAGGAUGGAAAUUGAUGGCAUCUAUGAAAUACAUUUAAGAACCAUCAACAUUUGAGUACCAAAUAAGUACUACAGGCCAGGUUCCCCUUAGACUUCUUAGAGAGCUCUCUUAUACCUUGAAAUCAUUUUUCCCAUAUCUGUUGUCAAUCCAGCUUGCUCUUAAAAAAAUAAAUAAGAAAAUUCAGACAGUCUUGUCCUUGUGGCCUCCAGGAAUUCCUUACUUUCACUGUGGUAAAGUGACAGUUGUUGUCACCACUCUGCCUCCGUCUUGUCCACACAAGCCUGCAAUAUUCCUCUUUGAACUAAGCUUUAAGCCCCAAAUUUUAGAUUUCUGGAUUUUUUUUUUCAUUAUUCCUCUCUAUUACCAAUCUCGUUCCUUUUAUCCUUACUCCUAUCUUAUUUUUCUAAGAAUGACCUUGUUUUCUAUAUCUUAGAAAUCGACAUUUCUCAAGAAGAUAUUUCUGGCCAUUCUCUCAAAAGCUGGUUCCUAUAACAUCUACCUCCACAGUCACAACAUCAAUGUUGCGGAUUGCCCUGGGGCUAAUUAUAUUUGAUGUUAAAUCCAUUCUCCUGUGAGGGGUUGUGAACACAGAAUGAGUCAGCACUCAAAUGAUUUCCUGUAAACCUGCUUCCCACCUUAAUUUGUAAAAUAAAGGAGACCUGAUGAUUGGACAGAGAAAGGGAAGGUGGAGUGGAAGGUUGGAAGAGAGAAGGAGGAGAAAAUGGAAGAGGAAGAGGACACAGAGGGGGGGAAAGAAGAAGAAAAGUGGAGCAGAAGCAUAUAGCCUGGAGAAACCUCAAGUUCUAAGGGUCUCAUAGAUGUGGAAGAUGGUAGUGUAGUGGUAGAUCUUCCCAAUAUAGGCUCACAGCAUGUAUUCAUAUUAAUUGAGUCAUGUUUUCAUUGCAGUUGCAUAUUUGGGUUGGAGAUUUACCACAACACAUCAAAUUAGUAUUUAAUAAUCUGACCGUCUAAAAAUCUAUUUAUGUUGUUAACUUCACUGUGAAGUUUAGUAUAUGCUUGGGCUAGGGAGUGGCACCAUUAGGAGAUGUGGCCUUGUUGGAGUAGGUGUGGCCUUCUUGAAAUAGGUGUGUCACUAUGGGUGUGGGCUUUAAUACCCCAGUCCUAGCUGCCUGGAAGUGAGUAUUCUGCUAGCAGCCUUCAGAGGAAGACUUAGAAUUCUCAGCUCCUCCUACACCAUGGCUGCCUGGAUGCUGUCAUAUUCCCUCCUUGAUGAUAAUGGACUGAACCUCUGAACCUGUAAGCUAGCCCUGAUUAAAUGUUGCUCUUAUAAGAGCUGCCUUGGUCAUGGUGUCUGUUCACAGCAGUAAAAUCCUAAGUAAAUAGUUCUUGUUCUUAAAUUAGGAAACAAAGUUCUAACAUGCCAUGAAGAUAUUAUACAAGUAUUCGUCUACAUGGAUAUAUGGACAGAAAUACACUCAUUAAUCAAUAUAGCGUCAAUACUAAACAUAGUAGAGACUCAUGAAGACAUAAUGACAUGCACAGAUAUUUCUGCUGUAAUUCCACAUAAUAAUUCUUAAUGUUUGGUUCUUCAGAGUUUCCAACUAAGAAUAACAGUCCUAGAAGAAGAAGAAGAAGAAGAAGA